rnacentral:tRNA from 1 species
UAGAUUUUAUUAUAUUCCAUAAUUUGAU